UACGUAGGUGGCGAGCGUUGUCCGGAUUUACUGGGCGUAAAGGGAGCGUAGGCGGACUUUUAAGUGAGAUGUGAGAUACUCGGGCUCGACUUGAGUGCUGCAUUUCAAACUGGAAGUCUAGAGUGCAGGAGAGGAGAAUGGAAUUCCUAGUGUAGCGGUGAAAUGCGUAGAGAUUAGGAAGAACACCAGUGGCGAAGGCGAUUCUCUGGACUGUAACUGACGCUGAGGCUCGAAAGCGUGGGGAGCAAACAGG
rnacentral:rRNA from 1 species